GAUGAACGCUAGCGGCAGGCCUAACACAUGCAAGUCGAGGGGUAACAGGUGUAGCAAUACAUGCUGACGACCGGCGCACGGGUGAGUAACGCGUAUGCAACCUGCCUUCAGCUGGGAGAUAACCCGGAGAAAUCCGGACUAAUAUCCCAUAACAUUAUCGGGUCGCAUGGUCUGGUAAUUAAAGCUCCGGCGGCUGAAGAUGGGCAUGCGUGGCAUUAGCUUGUUGGUGAGGUAACGGCUCACCAAGGCAACGAUACCUAGGGGGUCUGAGAGGAUGAUCCCCCAACUGGUACUGAGACACGGACCAGACUCCUACGGGAGGCAGCAGUGAGGAAUAUUGGGCAAGUGGACGCAAGUCUGACCCAGCCAUGCCGCGUGCAGGAUGAAGGCCCUAGUGGUUGUAAACUGCUUUUGACGGAAGAAACCUCGCACGUGUGCGGGGCUGACGGUCCGUAUGAAUAAGCAUCGGCUAACUCCGU
rnacentral:rRNA from 1 species